rnacentral:rRNA from 1 species
GGACGAACGCUGGCGGCGUGCCUAAUACAUGCAAGUAGAACGCUGAAGAGAGGAGCUUGCUCUUCUUGGAUGAGUUGCGAACGGGUGAGUAACGCGUAGGUAACCUGCCUUGUAGCGGGGGAUAACUAUUGGAAACGAUAGCUAAUACCGCAUAACAAUGGAUGACACAUGUCAUUUAUUUGAAAGGGGCAAUUGCUCCACUACAAGAUGGACCUGCGUUGUAUUAGCUAGUAGGUGAGGUAAUGGCUCACCUAGACGACGAUACAUAGCCGACCUGAGAGGGUAGGCGGCCACACUAGGACUGAGACACGGCCCAGACACCUAGCGAAGAGAGCAGUAGGGAAUCAUCGGCCAUGGGAGCAAACCUGACCGAACACCGCCGCGUGAGUGAAGAAGGGUCUCGUAUCGUAAAGCUCUGUUGUAAGUCAAGAACGGGUGUGAGAGUGGAAAGUUCACACUGUGACGGUAGCUUACCAGAAAGGGACGGCUAACUACGUG